GAAAUAUUAGUGUAAUUGAACUUCUAAUUCAAAUUAUAAAUAAUUUAAUUUAUUUAUAUUUCU
rnacentral:tRNA from 1 species